AGUUCAGUAAAAAGGCCCGAAGUGCAAAUUCGGAUAAGGUUAAUUAAACCCUGGACUU
rnacentral:tRNA from 1 species